CACACACACACACACACACACACACAGACACACACAGUGUGUUUUCUUUACUCCACUCAUUUACUCUUCCACUCCCUUGUUUUCCCUCUGCUGAUCGAUAGAGUCACCUUGGUUAGCUAUUUGUAGCCUUGUGUGUGUGUGUGUGUGUGUGUGUGUGUGUGUGUGUGUGUGUGUGUGUGUGUUGGAGAUGCAAAAAGAGCCCAUGUCUCUCACUCUCUCUCAGCAAAGUUGCGAAAGAUGAAAUGAAUUAGGAUUUUCCCGCUUACCAGAGCGAUAGGUAUUGAAUUGAAGUGAAGCUGCUGAUUGGUCGGCUGCUGUAAAGACCAUUAUGACAUCAUCACCUGGCAGGGAGAUUUUCUCUUUGAUCUGAAACAGGUUAAAAAAGAUCAAGUUUGUACAAAACAGAAAUCCGUCAGAAAUUUCUCACUGAUAUCCUCUACAAAAACAUGUGCUAAAGGAGUCUGUACGAGAAUGAAACAAAGAAAAGAAAGAAAGAAAAAAAGAAAGAAAGAGGCCUAAUUUUUUAAAACAAAUUGUCAAGGCUGAAAGAAAGAAAAAAAAGAAAGAAAGAAAGAAAAAAGAAAGAAAGGGGUCUGAUUUUUUUUAAACAAAUUGUCAAGGCUGAAAGAAAGAAAAGAAAGAAAGAAAGAAAAAAAAAGAAAGGGGCCUGAUUUAAAUUUUUUUUUUUUUUUUUUACAAAUUGUCAAGGCUAAAAGAAAGAAACAAAAUAAACAAAGAAAAAAAGAAAAAAGAAAGAAAGAAAAAAGGAGAAAAAGAAAGAAAGAAAAUAGAAAGAAAGGGGCCUGAUUUUUUUUUUUUUUUACAAAUUGUCAAGGCUGAAAGAAAGAAGGACGUGAAGAACACGGAGACGGGACGCUGCGGCAUGUUACAGUUCAGCGUUACAGUUCUGCGUUUGUUUCACAAAAUGGCCGACUGUGUGAGGGAGCGCUUAGCGUGUUAGUUUUCGUUGGGAAGUGUGUUCGUCAGCACUAAUAUGGGCGGAGCCUGUUUGAUCAUGUGAUUCGGGGGAGGAGCCUGUGCAGUGUUGAGUGGGACACGGAGACUUUUUGAAGACUUCACUAGAAAUUCC
ensembl:lncRNA